AACGAACGCUGGCGGCAUGCCUAACACAUGCCAGUCGAACGAGACCUUCGGGUCGUGUGUCGCACGGGUGCGUAACGCGUGGGAACCUGCCCUUAGGUUCGGAAUAACUCCCCGAAAGGGGUGCUAGUACCGGAUAAUGUCUUCGGACCAAAGAUUUAUCGCCUUUGGAUGGGCCCGCGUUGGAUUAGCUAGUUGGUAGGGUAAAAGCCUACCAAGGCGACGAUCCAUAGCUGGUCUGAGAGGAUGAUCAGCCACACUGGGACUGAGACACGGCCCAGACUCCUACGGGAGGCAGCAGUGGGGAAUAUUGGACAAUGGGCGAAAGCCUGAUCCAGCAAUGCCGCGUGAGUGAUGAAGGCCUUAGGGUUGUAAAGCUCUUUUACCCGGGAUGAUAAUGACAGUACCGGGAGAAUAAGCUCCGGCUAACUCCGUG
rnacentral:rRNA from 1 species